GCAUCGAUGAAGAACGCAGCGAAACGCGAUAGGUAAUGUGAAUUGCAGAAUUCCGUGAAUCAUCGAAUCUUUGAACGCACCUUGCGCUCCAUGGCAUUCCGUGGAGCAUGCCUGUUUGAGUGCCGCGAAAUCUCCCACCCUUAGCGGUUGCCGCAAGGCGCCGCCGGGCGGCGGGGUUGGUUGGGUGCCGCUGCCUGGGCUUUGGCCCAGGCUCGCCCGAAAUGCAUGAGCGCUUAGCACUCGCACCGUCUCGAGGGAAGGCGGCGGAGCUGGCAUCUGCGCAUGGCAUGAUACGUCAUUUGCUGUGUGGCAGCCCAGCGACCCGAGAGUGUGUGUGCGCUACUACACGCCCUUUCAUUUCUGGUCUCAAAUCAGGUAGGAUCACCCGCUGAACUUAAGCAUAUCAAUAAGCGGAGGA
rnacentral:rRNA from 1 species